rnacentral:rRNA from 1 species
UGGGGAAUAUUGCACAAUGGGCGCAAGCCUGAUGCAGCAAUGCCGCGUGAGUGAAGACGGCCUUAGGGUUGUAAAACUCUUUCGCUAGGGAAGAUAAUGACGGUACCUAGUAAAGAAGUCCCGGCUAACUCCGUGCCAGCAGCCGCGGUAAUACGGAGGGGACUAGCGUUGUUCGGAAUUACUGGGCGUAAAGAGUUCGUAGGCGGACUAGCAAGUUAGAGGUGAAAUCCCAGGCUCAACCUUGGAACUGCCUUUAAAACUGCUAGUCUAGAGACCGGAAGAGGUUAGGGGAAUACCUAGUGUAGAGGUGAAAUUCGUAGAUAUUAGGUGGAACACCAGUGGCGAAGGCGGCUCACUGGCUCGAUACUGACGCUGAGGUGCGAAAGUGUGGGGAGCAAACAGGAUUAGAUACCCUGGUAGUCCACGCCGUAAACGAUGUCUGCUAGUCGUUGGGGAGCAUAGCUCUUGCGGUGACGCAGCUAACGCAUUAAGCAGACCGCCUGGGGAGUACGGCCGCAAGGUUAAAACUCAAAGGAAUUG